rnacentral:sRNA from 1 species
AUUCUAUGUAACACGACAGCCUGCUUCAGCUUUGCUUCCUUCCAAACCUGCCACAGUUCCACGUACAGUCUUCAAGCCACAUACACCCUAGUGGCAAAAGCUACACAGUCCCUCAGCAAUACCAACAGUGAGGAAGAGCCCCUUCCCACCCCAGAGGCAGCCACUGUCCCCAGCCCAUGUCCCUGUUGCUGGAUGUGGUGGGCCGGUUCUCACCCUCACGCUCCCCUCUCUGGACCGGCCAGGAGGCUUGGUGACCCUGAGCCCGUGGUGGCUGCUCCUGCUGCUGUCAGGCGGGGCCUGCUGGUGCCCCAGAGUGGGCGUCUGUUCCCCAGUCCCUGCUUUCCUCAGCUGGCCUGAUUGGGGGUCUGCCCAGAGGGGUCGUCUGAGGGGAGGGUGUGGGAGCAGGUUCCAUCCCGGCUCAGCCUCCUGACCCAGGCCCUGGCUAAGGGCUGCAGGAGUCUGUGAGUCAGGCCUACGUGGCAACUGCGGUCCUCACACCCACACAUACGUCUGUUCCCACACGCAUCCCCCCAGGGGCCCUCAGUGAGCAUUGCCUGCCUCCUGCCAGGCUCCAGCUGGGUCCAGUACACCAGAACACACCCCCCAGUGUCCUCUGCCCUGUGUAUGCCCUUCCGCCACCCAGGUUGGAAGGUGGCAAACCGGAUGAGUAUCCUGGGAGGGUUGAGCUCACCGGCAGUGGCCAGGCCCCUGGGAAAGCUGGAGUUUGGGAGCAGCAUCCUCCAUGGGUCCUCCAGACCUUCCAGCAGGCCAAGUAGACCUGUGUUGGAGGUAACCCCACUCCCACGCCAGGUGCUGAUCCGGAGUGGCCGGGUGCCCAUUGUGUCCUUGGAGUGUGUGUCCUGCAAGGCACAGGCCGUGUACGAAGUGAGCCGCAGCUCCUACGUGUACCUGGAGGGCCGCUGCCUCAAUUGCAGCAGUGGCUCCAAGCGAGGGCGGUGGGCUGCACGUACGUUCAGCAACAAGACGCUGGUGCUGGAUGAGACCACCACGUCCACGGGCAGCGCAGGCAUGCGACUGGUGCUGCGGCGGGGCGUGCUGCGGGACGGCGAGGGAUACACCUUCACGCUCACGGUGCUGGGCCGCUCUGGCGAGGAGGAGGGCUGCGCCUCCAUCCGCCUGUCCCCCAACCGCCCGCCGCUGGGGGGCUCUUGCCGCCUCUUCCCACUGGGCGCUGUGCACGCCCUCACUACCAAGGUGCACUUCGAAUGCACGGGUUGGCAUGACGCGGAGGAUGCUGGCGCCCCGCUGGUGUACGCCCUGCUGCUGCGGCGCUGUCGCCAGGGCCACUGCGAGGAGUUCUGUGUCUACAAGGGCAGCCUCUCCGGCUACGGAGCUGUGCUGCCCCCGGGUUUCAGGCCACACUUCGAGGUGGGCCUGGCCGUGGUGGUGCAGGACCAGCUGGGAGCCGCUGUGGUCGCCCUCAACAGGUGAGCCAGGCCGUGGGAGGGCGCCCCCGAGACUGCCACCUGCUCACCACCCCCCUCUGCUCGUAGGUCUCUGGCCAUCACCCUCCCAGAGCCUAACGGCAGUGCAACGGGGCUCACAGUCUGGCUGCACGGGCUCACCGCUAGUGUGCUCCCGGGGCUGCUGCGGCAGGCCGAUCCCCAGCACGUCAUCGAGUACUCGCUGGCCCUGGUCACCGUGCUGAACGAGGUGAGUGCAGCCUGGGAGGGGACCUCACAUCUGCUGCAUGCGUGCUGGGGACCAAGACUUGUACCCCUGCCUGGAGCUUUGCAGAGGGCUCAUUCCAGGCCCCAGAGAUAAAUCCCAGUGACCCUGAAGCAGCACCCCGACCUUCAGCUCCCAGCAGCCACACCCACCGGGCCCUCUCCGGCGUCUGCUUUCCACAAUGCAGCCCCCGCCCAGGAGGGCCCAUGUGCUUACCCUGUUUUGCCCAUGAAGAGACAGCUCAGUGUUGCGGGUCAGUGCCCACAUCACACAGCAUCUAGCACGUAACUGCACCCCGGGAGUCGUGGGCAUCCGCUGGCCUCCUGCCGGCCUCCUGCCCUGCUGACAGCUUGCUGUGCCCCCUGCCUGCCCCAGUACGAGCAGGCCCUGGACGUGGCGGCAGAGCCCAAGCACGAGCGGCAGCGCCGAGCCCAGAUACGCAAGAACAUCACGGAGACUCUGGUGUCCCUGCGGGUCCACACUGUGGAUGACAUCCAGCAGAUCGCUGCUGCGCUGGCCCAGUGCAUGGGGCCCAGCAGGGAGCUCGUAUGCCGCUCAUGCCUGAAGCAGACGCUGCACAAGCUGGAGGCCAUGAUGCGCAUCCUGCAGGCAGAGACCACCGCGGGCACCGUGACGCCCACCGCCAUCGGAGACAGCAUCCUCAACAUCACAGGAGACCUCAUCCACCUGGCCAGCUCGGACGUGCGGGCACCACAGCCCUCAGAGCUGGGAGCCGAGUCACCAUCGCGGAUGGUGGCGUCCCAGGCCUACAACCUGACCUCUGCCCUCAUGCGCAUCCUCAUGCGCUCCCGCGUGCUCAACGAGGAGCCCCUGAUGCUGGCGGGCGAGGAGAUCGUGGCCCAGGGCAAGCGCUCGGACCCGCGGAGCCUGCUGUGCUAUGGCGGCGCCCCAGGGCCUGGCUGCCACUUCUCCAUCCCCGAGGCUUUCAGCGGGGCCCUGGCCAACCUCAGUGACGUGGUGCAGCUCAUCUUUCUGGUGGACUCCAAUCCCUUUCCCUUUGGCUAUAUCAGCAACUACACCGUCUCCACCAAGGUGGCCUCGAUGGCAUUCCAGACACAGGCCGGCGCCCAGAUCCCCAUCGAGCGGCUGGCCUCAGAGCGCGCCAUCACCGUGAAGGUGCCCAACAACUCGGACUUGGCUGCCCGGGGCCACCGCAGCUCCGCCAACUCCGUUGUGGUCCAGCCCCAGGCCUCCGUCGGUGCUGUGGUCACCCUGGACAGCAGCAACCCUGCGGCCGGGCUGCAUCUGCAGCUCAACUAUACGCUGCUGGACGGCCGCUACCUGUCUGAGGAACCCGAGCCCUACCUGGCAGUCUACCUGCACUCGGAGCCCCGGCCCAAUGAGCACAACUGCUCGGCUAGCAGGAGGAUCCGCCCAGAGUCACUCCAGGGUGCCGACCACCGGCCCUACACCUUCUUCAUUUCCCCGGGGAGCAGAGACCCAGCGGGGAGUUACCAUCUGAACCUCUCCAGCCACUUCCGCUGGUCAGUGCUGGAGGUGUCCGUGGGCCUGUACACGUCCCUGUGUCAGUACUUCAGCGAGGAGGACAUGGUGUGGAGGACAGAGGGGCUGCUGCCCCUGGAGGAGACCUCGCCCCGCCAGGCCGUCUGCCUCACCCGCCACCUCACCGCCUUCGGCGCCAGCCUCUUCGUGCCCCCAAGCCAUGUCCGCUUUGUCUUUCCGGAGCCGACAGCGGAUGUAAACUACAUCGUCAUGCUGACAUGUGCUGUGUGCCUGGUGACCUACAUGGUCAUGGCCGCCAUCCUGCACAAGCUGGACCAGUUGGAUGCCAGCCGAGGCCGCGCCAUCCCCUUCUGUGGGCAGCGGGGCCGCUUCAAGUACGAGAUCCUCGUCAAGACAGGCUGGGGCCGGGGCUCAGGUACCACGGCCCACGUGGGCAUCAUGCUGUAUGGGGUGGACAGCCGGAGUGGCCACCGGCACCUGGACGGCGACAGAGCCUUCCACCGCAACAGCCUGGACAUCUUCCGGAUCGCCACCCCGCAUAGCCUGGGUAGCGUGUGGAAGAUCCGAGUGUGGCACGACAACAAAGGGCUCAGCCCUGCCUGGUUCCUGCAGCACAUCAUCGUCAGGGACCUGCAGACGGCACGCAGCGCCUUCUUCCUGGUCAAUGACUGGCUUUCGGUGGAGACGGAGGCCAACGGGGGCCUGGUGGAGAAGGAGGUGCUGGCCGCGAGCGACGCAGCCCUGUUGCGCUUCCGGCGCCUGCUGGUGGCUGAGCUGCAGCGCGGCUUCUUUGACAAGCACAUCUGGCUCUCCAUAUGGGACCGGCCGCCUCGUAGCCGUUUCACUCGCAUCCAGAGGGCCACCUGCUGCGUUCUCCUCAUCUGCCUCUUCCUGGGCGCCAACGCCGUGUGGUACGGGGCUGUUGGCGACUCUGCCUACAGCACGGGGCGUGUGUCCAGGCUGAGCCCGCUGAGUGUCGACACAGUCGCUGUUGGCCUGGUGUCCAGCGUGGUUGUCUAUCCCGUCUACCUGGCCAUCCUCUUUCUCUUCCGGAUGUCCCGGAGCAAGGUGGCUGGGAGCCCGAGCCCCACACCUGCCGGGCAGCAGGUGCUGGACAUCGACAGCUGCCUGGACUCGUCCGUGCUGGACAGCUCCUUCCUCACGUUCUCAGGCCUCCACGCUGAGGUGAGGGCUCUACUGGGGGUCCUGGGCUGGGCUGGGGGUCCUGCCGCCUUGGCGCAGCUUGGACUCAAGACACUGUGCACCUCUUAGCAGGCCUUUGCUGGACAGAUGAAGAGUGACUUGUUUCUGGAUGAUUC